AUGGUUUCUUUGGUAUUGACUUGGCCUUUGUCCAGACUUUCUCUUACAUGACUGACCCCUUCCUAUCCCUGCUGUCACUGACUCUUAGGAAGUGUAUAUUGGGCCAUUUGACAUCCUCUCUCUGUUAGACCAGGGACAAUUCGGUUACUCACAGGCAGGUUCAUGAGUCAAUUUUAGGAACGUUACUAUUCUACAUAAUACCCCUGACCUCCCAGGUUGCCAGGACACACUAAACUUUUCCUGAGACAAGGUCCAGUCAACAACUUUAUGGCAGUCCUUCCAAACGAAACUUUGCCUAAUACCUACAAGUCAGUCAUGAGACAGUCAGGGGUUUGGAAAUGUAUCACUUGACUAGAUUUCCAGGUUGAUAACAAGAUGAUAAGCCACUGUGUCAUCCAGGAGGUUCCAAAGUCCAGAUUACAUUCACAGGCAACUUUCUGCAGCUCCCCUUCCUGGGUCCUCAAGUUCUCCCCUCCAAAACCAAAGCCCAGUAGGGGGCACCUUCCCAAAGCUAAACCUAAGAAACCAUAGCCUGCCCAGCUUAAAGCAAAAUGAAAAGAAGUUCUGUCUCUGGGCUGACUGCACCCCUGCUCUUUAAACUGCUGGAUGGUGAAGGGCAGGAAACCACUUAGACGAAGAUGCCCAUGGGAAGGCUACAGAUCAGACUACCAUGAGGAAACAAGAACAAAUCAGGAAGUAUCUGUUGUGGAGCCCACUAGGAAGGGAUCCACUUCUGUUCAACAUCGCAAAUUCCUUUCUUUUGCAGUUUUAAGCUAAAUUUUAUCUUGCUUAGAACAACUUUAACAAUGUAAUAAA